GGAGGCUUUGGCAGUACUGCAAAGAUUCAAGGAUUUGUCCAGAAAGCGUCAUCGUUGGGAGAGACAGACCGAUCAGGCGAUUCUCCCCUUCUCCUUUUCUUUACUCCUCUUUGUCUCCUUGAUUCUUUGUUGCUCGGUGAUUCUUUCGAGGGUAUAUGGAGAUUGAGAGGUUUUCAGCCAUUUGAGUGAGAAAAUGUCAACUUCAAAACAAGCAGUUAAUGAGAC